AUUGAACGCCGGCGGCAUGCCUUACACAUGCAAGUCGAACGGUAGAGGGGGCAACCUCUCGAGAGUGGCGAACGGGUGAGUAAAGCAUCGGAACGUGCCCAGUAGUGGGGGAUAGCCCGGCGAAAGCCGGAUUAAUACCGCAUGAGACCUACGGGUGAAAGGGGGGGAUCGCAAGACCUCUCGCUAUUGGAGCGGCCGAUGUCAGAUUAGGUAGUUGGUGGGGUAAAGGCCUACCAAGCCGACGAUCUGUAGCUGGUCUGAGAGGACGACCAGCCACCCUGGGACUGAGACACGGCCCAGACUCCGACGGGAGGCAGCAGUGGGGAAUUUUGGACAAGGGGCGAAAGCCUGAUCCAGCCAUGCCGCGUGCGGGAAGAAGGCCUUCGGGUUGUAAACCGCUUUUGUCAGGGAAGAAAUCCUUUGAGUUAAUACCUCGGGGGGAUGACGGUACCUGAAGAAUAAGCACCGGCUAACUACGUGCCAGCCGCCGCCGUAAAAC
rnacentral:rRNA from 1 species